AUAUCAUCUGUGGCUCACCUCUCAUUUUUGUGAUUUUUGCAAUUUAAAUUAAACAAUUAAUUGCAUAGUCACAAAAGUGAUGGGUGCUUUGCAGAAUUUGU
rnacentral:pre_miRNA from 1 species